UACGUAGGGGGCAAGCGUUGUCCGGAUUUAUUGGGCGUAAAGAGUGUGUAGGCGGCCAGAUAGGUCAGCUGUGAAAACUCGAGGCUCAACCUCGAGACGCCGGUUGAAACCAUCUGGCUAGAGUCCGGAAGAGGAGAGUGGAAUUCCUGGUGUAGCGGUGAAAUGCGCAGAUAUCAGGAAGAACACCCGUGGCUAAGGCGGCUCUCUAGUACGGUACUGACGCUGAGACGCGAAAGCGUGGGGAGCGAACAGG
rnacentral:rRNA from 1 species